rnacentral:rRNA from 1 species
UACGUAGGCAGCGAGCGUUGUUCGGAAUUACUGGGCGUAAAGAGUGUGUAGGCGGUGCUCCCAGUCUGUUGUGAAAUCUCCCGGCUUAACUGGGAGGGUGCAUCGGAAACUAGAGUGCUAGAGGGUGGGAGAGGUAAGCGGAAUUCCUGGUGUAGCGGUGAAAUGCGUAGAUAUCAGGAGGAACACCUGUGGUGUAGACAGCUUACUGGACCACUUCUGACGCUGAGAAACGAAAGCGUGGGUAGCAAACAGG